GACGAAGGGGGCUAGCGUUGUUCGGAAUUACUGGGCGUAAAGCGCGUGUAGGCGGUUAUUCAAGUCGGGUGUGAAAGCCUUGAGCUCAACUCAAGAAAUGCACUCGGUACUGGGUGACUAGAGGACCGGAGAGGAUAGUGGAAUUCCCAGUGUAGUGGUGAAAUACGUAGAGAUUGGGAAGAACACCAGUGGCGAAGGCGGCUAUCUGGACGGUUUCUGACGCUAAGACGCGAAAGCGUGGGGAGCAAACAGG
rnacentral:rRNA from 1 species